GAUUAUUGGUGAAUGUAAAAUAUGGCAUAAGAUGAAGAAAGCUUGUGAAACACUAAACGUGUCGUUUGAACAUUUUAAUUUGAAUUAGGGCACAAUUAUGUAUUUUUUUAGACAAUAACAGCGUUUACCAACCAUGUGUCAUGCUACAGACUGCAGCCAACAUCGUUAUUUUUCAGUUUUACAAAUCUACGGUAUUAAAAACUUUAGAGACUGGCUGUACAUGCAAAUGGCUACCUGCAAGAACACCAGACAUAUAGACCAUUCCCACUUCAAAGCCCUUAUGUACCAGCUCCAGGGGAAUGCCCAAAAGCAGUUGCAUUAACAGAUUGCCCAAGAUGUGCUCCACCCUAAAUGAUGAAAGAUAGUCAAAUGCACAUCAAGCACCAAUAAGGUCAAGCUAAAAUUGAGGCAACUUGAGGAAAGCAGCGUAAUUCCUUACCCGGCAUGCACAAACAUGUAGGACAAAAACCGCCAUGCCUGCUCACGAAGUUCAGGUUUAUAG